rnacentral:rRNA from 1 species
AGAUGUGCCCAGAUGGGAUUAGCUAGUAGGUGGGGUAACGGCUCACCUAGGCGACGAUCCCUAGCUGGUCUGAGAGGAUGACCAGCCACACUGGAACUGAGACACGGUCCAGACUCCUACGGGAGGCAGCAGUGGGGAAUAUUGCACAAUGGGCGCAAGCCUGAUGCAGCCAUGCCGCGUGUAUGAAGAAGGCCUUCGGGUUGUAAAGUACUUUCAGCGGGGAGGAAGGCGUUGAGGUUAAUAACCUCAGCAAUUGACGUUACCCGCAGAAGAAGCACCGGCUAACUCCGUGCCAGCAGCCGCGGUAAUACGGAGGGUGCAAGCGUUAAUCGGAAUUACUGGGCGUAAAGCGCACGCAGGCGGUCUGUCAAGUCGGAUGUGAAAUCCCCGGGCUCAACCUGGGAACUGCAUUCGAAACUGGCAGGCUAGAGUCUUGUAGAGGGGGGUAGAAUUCCAGGUGUAGCGGUGAAAUGCGUAGAGAUCUGGAGGAAUACCGGUGGCGAAG